ACGGGUGAGUAAUGUCUGGGAAACUGCCCGAUGGAGGGGGAUAACUACUGGAAACGGUAGCUAAUACCGCAUAACGUCUUCGGACCAAAGUGGGGGACCUUCGGGCCUCACACCAUCGGAUGUGCCCAGAUGGGAUUAGCUAGUAGGUGGGGUAACGGCUCACCUAGGCGACGAUCCCUAGCUGGUCUGAGAGGAUGACCAGCCACACUAGAACUGAGACACGGUCCAGACUCCUACGGGAGGCAGCAGUGGGGAAUAUUGCACAAUGGGCGCAAGCCUGAUGCAGCCAUGCCGCGUGUAUGAAGAAGGCCUUCGGGUUGUAAAGUACUUUCAGCGGGGAGGAAGGCGAUGUGGUUAAUAACCGCGUCGAUUGACGUUACCCGCAGAAGAAGCACCGGCUAACUCCGUGCCAGCAGCCGCGGUAAUACGGAGGGUGCAAGCGUUAAUCGGAAUUACUGGGCGUAAAGCGCACGCAGGCGGUCUGUCAAGUCGGAUGUGAAAUCCCCGGGCUUAACCUGGGAACUGCAUUCGAAACUGGCAGGCUUGAGUCUCGUAGAGGGGGGUAGAAUUCCAGGUGUAGCGGUGA
rnacentral:rRNA from 1 species